UACAGAGGGGGCGAGCGUUGUUCGGAAUUACUGGGCGUAAAGGGCGCGUAGGCGGCCAACUAAGUCAGACGUGAAAUCCCUCGGCUCAACCGGGGAACUGCGUCUGAUACUGGAUGGCUUGAAUUCGGGAGAGGGAUGCGGAAUUCCAGGUGUAGCGGUGAAAUGCGUAGAUAUCAGGAGGAACACCGGUGGCGAAGGCGGCUACCUGGACAGAAACUGACGCUGAGGCGCGAAAGCUAGGGGAGCAAACAGG
rnacentral:rRNA from 1 species